AGAGUUUGAUCCUGGCUCAGAACGAACGCUGGCGGCGUGGCUAAGACAUGCAAGUCGCACGAGAAAUUCCGGCUUGCCGGGAGAGUAAAGUGGCGAAAGGGUGAGGAAUACAUGGGUAACGUACCCUGAGCACGGGGAUAGCUCCGAGAAAUUGGAGGUAAUACCCGAUGAAACCAUAGCAUCGCAUGGUGCAGUGGUCAAAGGGCGGGAUCCCUUCGGGGACCUGUCGGCUUGGGAGCGGUCCAUGUCCUAUCAGCUUGUUGGUGAGGUAACGGCUCACCAAGGCAACGACGGGUACCGGGACUGAGAGGUUGGCCCGGCACAUUGGGACUGAGACACUGCCCAGACUCCUACGGGAGGCUGCAGUAACGAAUAUUCCGCAAUGGGCGAAAGCCUGACGGAGCGACGCCGCGUGUGGGAAGAAGCUCUUCGGGGUGUAAACCACUGUCAGGGGUUACCAAGUAAUGGGAGCUAAUAUCUCCUUGCAUUGAGGAGCCCCAGAGGAAGCCACGGCUAACUUCGUGCCAGCAGCCGCGGUAACACGAAGGUGGCAAGCGUUGUUCGGAAUCACUGGGCUUAAAGAGCACGUAGGCGGUCCGUCAAGUGUCUUGUGAAAUCCCUCGGCUCAACCGAGGAAUUGCUUGGCAAACUGGCGGACUUGAGGGAAGUAGGGGCGCAUGGAACUCUUGGUGGAGCGGUGGAAUGCGUAGAUAUCAAGAGGAACGCCGGAGGCGAAGGCGAUGCGCUGGGCUUUUCCUGACGCUGAGGUGCGAAAGCUAGGGUAGCAAACGGGAUUAGAUACCCCGGUAGUCCUAGCCCUAAACGAUGUCCACUAGGCUGGAGGUCUUCUGACAGUUUUCUAGCCGAAACAAAAGCGAUAAGUGGACCGCCUGGGGAGUACGGUCGCAAGGCUAAAACUCAAAGGAAUUGACGGGGGCUCACACAAGCGGUGGAGCAUGAUGCUUAAUUCGAUCAACGCGAAGAACCUUAUCCUGGGCUUGACAUGUUUGGAUGCCUACCUGGAAACAGAUUAGGCUGCCCUUCGGGGUGAAACUUGCACAGGUGCUGCAUGGCUGUCGUCAGCUCGUGUCGUGAGAUGUUGGGUUAAGUCCCGUAACGAGCGAAACCCUUGUCGUUAGUUGCCAGCGGGUAAUGCCGGGGACUCUAACGAGACUGCCGGUGUCAAACCGGAGGAAGGUGGGGAUGACGUCAAGUCCUCAUGGCCUUUAUGCCCAGGGCCGCAAACGUGCUACAAUGGCUAGUACAAACCGACGCGAUACCGUGAGGUGGAGCAAAUCGGAAAAAGCUGGCCCCAGUUCGGAUUGGAGUCUGCAACUCGACUCCAUGAAGUUGGAAUCGCUAGUAAUCGUGCAUCAGAACGGCACGGUGAAUAUGUUCCUGAGCCUUGUACACACCGCCCGUCAAGUCAUGGAAGCUGGUAGCACCCGAAGUCGCCCCACUUCAGGGGUGCCUAAGGUGAGAUUGGUAACUGGGACUAAGUCGUAACAAGGUA
rnacentral:rRNA from 1 species